rnacentral:lncRNA from 1 species
GCCAAAAUACUUUUAUUUCACACAGGAAAAUUUAUAUUUGAGAACUUAAAACAAUCAAGUUAUUUGAAAUCUGUUCCUCUGGGAUGUAUAAGAUAUAAGGGGAGUCUUUGUCAAUAAAAUAAUGAGCCGGAGGUGAUUUAGAUUGCAGACUAUUAAUGCCAUCCUUUUAAAACGGUCACCGUUUUUCACCUGGCAUACUUCAGAAGAUAAAAUGAAGAUCUGUAACAGUAAACAAUUUCUCUAGUGAAAGAGUUUAUUUGGUCAGUGUAUACAGAUGUGGCCUAAGCCAACAAUCAAAUUUUUUAAAACCACAUGCACAUAUGUGUGAAAGUGAAAAUACAUUAAUUAUUCAAAUUUUUUAAAAUUCAGAAUUCUAGUAUUUUUCUAAAAUUUCUAAUAAACCCAAAUUCUCUAAAGCCUUGGUUUAUUUUUGUUCCUUUCAAAAUAUAUACUUAAACAUAUAUUAAAAGUGUGUAUUUUUCUCCUUGGGCCUACAUUAUUGACCAAAUUUUAAAGUGUUUACUGCUAUGUUAGCUACUCUAGGAAAGAUAUAAAAAUUAAGGUAUGUAUUCCUGAGGAUAUCACUUUAGAUAUACCUCGUACAUAUACAAAACAUGAGAAAAAGCAAUGUGAAGCAAUUAAAAAUUGUUUUGUAUAUUUCACAUUACAAUAAGACACAUGCGCACACACAGUGAAGGGAGGUCGUGAAAUCCGUUUGAAAGGCAUGUUCCACAGAAAUAGUUUGUCACAAAGGUUACAUUCCAAGGGUCCACAUCAAAAAUCACAGUAUACACAGAUUAGAAGCAAAAUAUAUCAGACAAAAAUAUCCCAGAGAUGUUUAUGUUGUUAAACUUUUACAAUAUUUUAAAAUCUUUUUUGUGGUUUGGAAAAACUCUGGCGCAAUACUGAUUAAAAAUAAAGACACUGUACCCAUGUAAUUCUGACUAUUCUAUUAUUAUUCCUCCUUUUCAUCAAAAAUAUAUUUCCUACAAAUUCUACAAAGUUUAAAUGAAUGUAUACUUGACAAGAAACACAAAAAUCACCCUAAAAGUGGAAUUAAACACACAGCUGGCUAAAUAAAUCCAAAAGAGAACAGCAGAUUUUGCGGGGCUUACAGACAAUACUAUGUAUUAGUGAUCCUGCAUUCUUAACAUUUUUCUUGGAUGCAGUGGGGCGUACUUUGCCUUUUAAUGGCCUACUUUCGACAUCAUACUUGCGGUCCAAGUGAACAGUCACGGCGAGUCACGGGAGUCACGCACGUUUCCAUGGUUACCGCCACGCCACACAUCAUGGGAAACACAGCCCCUCCGCCUCUCCACGCGCCUGAGUGCGCCUCUGACAAACGAGGCGGCUUCAUUUCUCUUCCUCUCUGGGAUUUCCCAACCGGUCUCGUGCUGCUGCUUCGCUCUUCUGUUGCACAUCUGGUACAAAACAAGAUUCCAUCACAUGGGAAAUGUUUCUGUUCUGCCCUCUUCAUUGUUCACUGUCCAGGACACACCUCGCCAUCAGAGACGCGAGCAGGCUGGGCUCUCUCCGCCGCCCCUCGCUCCCUCCUCUCCUGCGGUUACAGCAGCCGCCCUCUAACUCUGGACCCGGCCUCCACUUACAGACGCAGGCUCAGGGGCGCCGACCCUCGGGACAGAGCCACAGCUGGCGCUCCACGCCCAUCGGACCGGACCGGCUAGAGGCUUCACCCUCCCUCCACCUUCUCCUUUCAGACUUGACCUCACCUCCUACUCCACAGGAAAAACAAAGCCAAAGCCCUCAGACAAGGCCUCCGACUCUGCCUCUCAGUGCGACCUGGGCCUGUGCUCUGUCCCCUUCCGGGCUACUGGAAGGCGCGCUGCUCAGCACCCGGUGAAAAUAAAACACAGCGGCCCUGUUCUUAAGCUAGGGGAAGGGCCAAGCCCGACACCAGCACGGUCUGUCCGUCCAGGGCCCGGGCUCUGUGCAUGGCCCGGCCGGACGCCGCUGAGCCCUGGCGCUGCUCGCCCGCCAAAGUCAUGGAAGGCAUCUUGAUGGUAACUCUGGUGGACUCUACGAAGUCUUCCCCUCUCCUUGUCCAAAUAUUCACCAAGCACGUGCUGUGAAUGAAGUGUGACGAACAGAACGUCCUUGUUCUCAGGGACUGUCAGAUCUGUGGUGACAUCUGGAUUUGCUUUUAAGACUUCCUUAAUCGUACGUGUGCACUGCUUUACUGGCAUACAGAGAAGAGCAUCCCGCUGAGGUCAGCCGCCUCCUGGAAAAGGACUCGCCUGCUCUGAGCUUCCUAACGCUUGCAGCUCUCUAGAAGGAACGCUGUUGCUCCCGCUAUGGUGGGGACUGAAAUUGGACAGCGCCAGGCCAGAGGGUGCACGCCUGUAACCCCAGACACAAGAGGCCGAGGAAGGAGGAUCUCGGACACUGGGAGGCCCGACUGGACUACAGGCCAGCUUGGGAAACACGGGGGAACUGCGGCCCUUCAUCCUCUAGCCCGAUUGUCCUUGCCUAGGAGUAGCAGUGAGAGGCACACGUGUAUGGCAAAGAUGGCACUGUAGUUGUUCUUCCAAUACAGUACAAAGUAAAAAAUAUUAGCACACACCUCUAAUCUCAGCUAUUGGGAGGCUGAGCCAAGAGAACACUCAAGCCCAGGAGUUUGAGAACAGUGUGGGCAACACAUGGACACCCUGUCUCAAAGAAAAAAGAAUACUUCAAAAAUUAAAAUAAAAAUUAUAAUCUCAUCAUACAAAGGCAUCAUGCUAUUUACUUCUAGUCUUUUUGUGCAU